rnacentral:rRNA from 1 species
GACGAACGCUGGCGGCGUGCUUAACACAUGCAAGUCGAACGGAAAGGCCCUGCUUGCAGGGUGCUCGAGUGGCGAACGGGUGAGUAACACGUGGGUGAUCUGCCCCUUACUUUAGGAUAAGCCUGGGAAACUGGGUCUAAUACUGGAUAGGACCAUGCUGUAGGUGGUGUGGUGGAAAGAUUAGUUUCGGUAAGGGAUGAGCUCGCGGCCUAUCAGCUUGUUGGUGGGGUAAUGGCCUACCAAGGCGUCGACGGGUAGCCGGCCUGAGAGGGUGGACGGCCACAUUGGGACUGAGAUACGGCCCAGACUCCUACGGGAGGCAGCAGUGGGGAAUAUUGCACAAUGGGCGCAAGCCUGAUGCAGCGACGCCGCGUGGGGGAUGACGGCCUUCGGGUUGUAAACUCCUUGCAGCCAUGACGAAGCCCUUGUGGUGACGGUAGUGGUAGAAGAAGCACCGGCUAACUACGUG